rnacentral:rRNA from 1 species
GCCAGACUCCUACGGGAGGCAGCAGUGAGGAAUAUUGGUCAGUGGCCGAGAGGCUGAACCAGCCAAGUCGCGUGAGGGAAGAAUGUCCUAUGGAUUGUAAACCUCUUUUGUCAGGGAGCAAAGUCACCCACGUGUGGGUGUUGGAGAGUACCUGAAGAAAAAGCAUCGGCUAACUCCGUGCCAGCAGCCGCGGUAAUACGUAGGGAGCAAGCGUUAUCCGGAUUUACUGGGUGUAAAGGGCGCGUAGGCGGGAUGGCAAGUCAGAAGUGAAAGCCCGGGGCUCAACCCCGGGACUGCUUUUGAAACUGCCAGGCUGGAGUGUCGGAGGGGUAAGUGGAAUUCCUAGUGUAGCGGUGAAAUGCGUAGAUAUUAGGAGGAACACCAGUGGCGAAGGCGGCUUACUGGACGAUCACUGACGCUGAGGCUCGAAAGCGUGGGGAGCAAACAGGAUUAGAUACCCUCGUA